UACGGGGGGGGCUAGUGUUAUUCAGAAUAAUUGGGCGUAAAGGGUACGUAGGCGGUUAAAUUGGCUCGGGCUUAAGCCAUAGGCUUAACCUAUGGACGGCCUCGCAGCUGUUUUGACUUUGAGUCGGAUAGGGAAGAGUGGAAUUUCCAGUGGAGCGGUGAAAUGUGUUGAUAUUGGUAGGAACGCCGGUGGCGAAAGCGGCACACUGGGUCUUAACUGACGCUGAGGCACGAAAGCCAGGGGAGCGAACGGG
rnacentral:rRNA from 1 species